GACCCCACUGACCCUAACAGUGUUAUGUGCUGCGGCCACCACUCCAAGAGCAGGCAGCCGGGUAUCACCUGCAACCUGCCAUCUCUGUAGGACCUGCAAACCUCCAGGACCCUGAGGUGGGCAGGUAAGAUUGUGGCAGACCACUCACCCCAGACUCACCCCUGACCUGGAUCUGGGCCCUGCCAACCCUUCACCCCUGGCACAGUCCCAUGUUUUAGGUUAAAACCACGGCAAUAAUAAAAUUAUUGAAUUACAUUAAUGCACAUUGGACAUUGUUUGUUUCAUUGCACUCUGUGUUGUUUGUACUUUGACUUUUGCACAAAUAUCAUCCAUCACCUUCCUGCAGAAAAUAACUGCUCUCCAUUUUCCAUUUUGUUCUAAAUUUGGUUUACUGUUUUACAUCAUUUCCAUACUUGUCUUUUUUUUAAUUAAAGAUCUGUUGAGAAAUGUAGUACUGCAGGAAAUUCUUUUUUUAAUUAUUUACAUUUUUUUUCUAUUUUUACUCAAUUAUUUCUACUAUGACUCUCAAAACCCAAAACACCAAGACAAAUUGCUUGUAGGCCUAUGUGUGAACCAGUGGCGGCUGCUGGUCUUUCAAGGAGGGUAAGCUCAUUUUUCUGGCCUACAUCAUAAUUGUGUUUGUUCAUUUGUAUGUAACAGAACAGAGUCGCCAAACACAACGGCAGUCGUUUUUAAAAAAGACUAAAGUCGCUGAGGAUCGGUAAAGUCUCCGGAGCAGUUAAGAACAACGGAAUGAAUAACUUGGAAAAUGCUUUGGUAGAUGUUUUAUUCUUCAAGAUCGCUGAUUCGCAUAUUUAGCUGUCAAUCAAAAAAGGAUUUCGCCUCAGACAGCUCAUCCAAUCAUGGAUGCAGAAGCUCAGCGUCCGGGAGAAAGUUGGGACCGCCCUCUCGUCAUAGAACUCCAGAGACGCUGAGCGUCCGAUGGGCGGGACAAAGCCCAACAUUUAUCCAAUGAGCGUCUAGUUUUGCUGCUGGAACAACCCACUUUGAGGUUCCACAUUGAAGUCAGCAGAAGCUGAGCGUCCGGCUGUGUGAGGCGCUGCGAGGAUGAAUGAGAACGAAGUUAUGCUGGUUACCUGUGAUUAUCAGCUUCUUAUCACAGUGUGAUAAGACGCUGAUUCUGAACAAAAGAUGAAGGCUUUCUAGCGCUCAUUUAGUUAAUGAAAUCAACACACAGCAGUACGUAUUUCACCACUUUUUCUUUUUUUGGGGGGGUGACAUUUUAAGGGAAGCCGAGCUUCCCUUGCAGUCUUAGAGCAAUCGCCACUGGUGUGAACCUACUUAGCAAUAAACCCAGUUCUGGUUCUGAACCCAUAACCCAUUGUGCUUUUGAAAAUACAAACAAAAGAAAUUUAAACAAGUCAAAAAUGGAACCAGUCCCCCCACACACUCCAAAAAGAAGAAAAUCUUUUUCAAGAAGGAAUGGUACAUCAAUGUUGGCAGAACUUUUUUUUCUCCUGUGAAAAGUCUUAAAAGCUGAAUAUGAGACCAAAUGAUCUGUUAUGAAAAUGGGGAGAUCUGCUUUCUUGGCACAGAGGAAAACAGGGAGUGAGAUGUGGGGAUUGUAAGUGUUGGAGACAGGAGACACCAAAGAGCCGUGAGAAGUCAUACACUGCUGGUUAUCUGUGUGAUUUGAUAACUGCUGCUGUCAUUGCUGUUCUGCCCAAUUAGGAUCCAGUGCAGGAUAUCCUAGCCCUCAGUGGACGACCCUGAAACUUUACAUGAUGUUAUCAAACAUAGGCUGGUACGUGGUGCAUGACCCAUGAAAUAUGAAAAGUGCUACUUCCUUAACCCAGACUGACCCAGGGUCUCCAUGCUGUACAACACAGGGAAUGUACUCUGGGGCAAAUUUGAAUAUGGAUACGCAAAAAACUGAAACACACCUCUGGACCUGUGUGUGUGAGUGUGUGUGUGUGUGUGUGUGUGUGUGUAAGCUUAGAGUGUCCUGUGUGAACUGAGGAGAAACAUAUUGUUCGUUUAAGCUCCACGCUCUCCCAGUGCUGACCUCAGCAUGUGAGUUACAGACGAGAUUUAUUCUUUAUUAUUUAUUGCUAGCUCAAUACAAAUGAGCCUUACCAUUUACAGUAUAGUCCCGAUAUUAUCUCCUAUAGCUACCAAUAGCAUUUAAGGGAUUCUGGAAAUCUUAAGGGAUGUAACACCGCUGGACAUGUUAAGCUUCAAGAGCAGUUAAAGGUUUUUACUCCUCCAGCGAGGCUUAAGUGACUGAGGAUGGAUGAGCAAAAAACUGGGGUCAGACAUGAAACUGCUGUCUCUAUGCCAUUUGUAGAAAUUACUAGAUAGGGUGCUCAUCUGACAUAAGACAUGGUGUUUUUAAUGUUUAAAGCUAAUUAGAUCUUUGCAAGACUGAUCUAUGCCAGACACAUGAAGCUGUAAUAGCGUGUGCUUUAAAAAAUCAUAAAAAAAUGUUAGGAUAAAGCAACUCCCCACCCGCCCGACCUCUGUUAAUUAACAUUUUCAGCAGUAGCUAGGCUAUGGAGGAUCAGACUAAAUGACAGAUCUUCGAAAGCCUAACCUACAAGCUGAAAAGGAAAGUUGUCUGGUUCAUGUAAAAAGAAAAAAAAAGUCCCUUGUUUGUCAGUUUUAGUAUCAGAGCACCUAUGUGCAGCAACUCGACAUCCUUGGCUACUUUUUGAAAUGUCUCAGUAAUCCCAUGGGAGUGUAUAAAUUACCACCUGUACUUCACAUCCACCUCUCAAAUUAUGGGCUAUUAAUAAACGUAACUUUCAUAAUUCAAUAUAACUGAGCGGGAGCGCCUCCACUUCUCCCCACUCAGUCUCAGCCACAACAAUUAGAUGAGCUGAGGUCAUUUUACAUGCAAACAAUAGUGGGAGAAAAAGCCAGGCCAACAUUUGCUCAGUUUCGGGUGAAGUUUUAACCCAAAACUGAGCAAAUGUAAGAUGAUGGGGUAAUGCAUAAAAUAUGGUAUGUACCUAAUUCCUUUGACUGUCCUUUAUUUAGGUCUUGCAAUUGCAGAUUUUUUUGGCAUUUCAUAUUAUAAUAAUGACAUUUAGGGCUCUAUUUUGGUGCCUCGCUGGAGAUGUGCCGCAAGCGCAGAGUCAAUCAGAUCCGCCGCGCUGACAAGGCGUUCCCAAGCACAUUUUGGUAUUUUGGUGAGCCGCGCAGCCCGGCGUAAGUAUCCCCCCUCCCUAACUCAGCUCCUCCCGGCAGCAUAAAUCAUAGACGGGGAGGAGAGGGGGUUUAACACAGCCGAGACCUGUUUUCACCAAUCACAUUAGCUCCUCUCCUCGCCUUUAAAUCCGCCACAGGCGAGGCGUAUUACUAUUUUCAUGAAGUAGUCAAAGAGAUCAAGAGAUGUCUGAAGACAGUUAUGCCACACGAUGGCGACAGAGGGCAGCUGCUCAACAAGUGUCCUCCACACUCUCUCAUCUGAGCACAGAUGGAUUUGGUGUGCGUAAUGUUGGACCCACUGGUAAGACAAACACCCUUUUCCACAAAUAAAGACACUCACAUAAAGUUGCAUAUAUUCAAACCUCACGUGACAAAGGUGGGUUGAGCGCACAGAUCACAACAUAAACUCCAAAAAGGCAUUAAAAUCGGAACCAUCUGUGCGUAAAUGACGCAUCGCGCUCCGUGGCCUGGCUCUUUCUUUCAUAGAUGUUGGCAUAUAAAAUAAAUUUGGCUCACAAAACUGAAUAUUAUAAUAUCCGUAUGUCGGCUUAAAGUAGAUAACGCAUCUGAGCACUGAAACAAAUCAUCUGUUCAGCCGCAGCAGCAGCAGGAAGACGGACAGAGGACACGGAGACGUGUCCAGGUCGAGCUGUGCGAGAAAUAAGAGGAAGAAAGAAAAGGAGGGAGACACAUUACAUAUCUUGUUAACUUCAUCAUGUGCGUUUAUUUACUAGAUAUUUAAUUUAAUUUGAUGCAGUUUCAGCUGUAUUGAUUCGGUCAGGUUGUGUGUCCAAACGCGUGCCAAACGCGCUCAUCAGAUCAGAUAUAGAUCAGAAUAUAUCGAUAUAGAUCUAAAUGUAUGUGCUGACUCAGAUUAAUAGUUGUUGAUCAUUAUUUAUUGCACUGAAAUCUGCCUGACACUGUGGAAACCUGCCGGUGAGGCAUCAGUGACGUAUGUCGAUACGCCGCCGGUCUACCAAAAUACUACUGGACCAGCUGCGUUCCGCCUUGCGCUGAAAGCUGACCAGGUUUGAAUCGGCGAGCUUUCAGCGCACGUUACACGCCAGUGGCGAGCACGAAAAUGUCACUGCGCCAGCUGAUUCUGUCAUCACCUCCCCCUGCCACGCCACCACGCCCAGCUUGGCGGAUCUCGGCCCGCCUCCGUGCGACUCAGUCCACGAAAAUACCAAACUCGCCUUACACCGGGCUCCGCCAGACGAAAAUACAACUGCGCGGGGCUCGCCGCCCUCCGCCGCCUCACCGGCGCGAACGAAAAUAGAGCCCUUAGUGUUUCAUCAGCUUUGCACUCCCUUAACGUUUAUUGUACAAAUAAAGCUUAAAUUUCAAACAGUUAAUUUUUUUUUGUUUAUCUUUAUGUAAAUGUACAUGAAACAUCUUAAAAUAUACAAAGGUGCAUGAAUAAAUAUCUUUGUACAGGUUUAAAAUAAUGUGAUAUAAAACACAUUUGAAAAAAUAAAAAAAUGUUAAUAUUUAUUUAUCAUUUUUUAGCCAACUCUGCAAGCAGAGAGGCCUGCCAGUAAGGAGUUGCAGUAGUCAAUGCAUGAUAUUACAAGAGCCUGUACCAGCAGCUGUGUUGCAUGCUCUGUCAGAUAGGGUCUGAUCCUCCAGAUGUUAUAGAGGGCAAAUCUGCAGGAUCAGGCAAUCGAGGCAACAUGAACCCUGAAGGUUAGCAGGUCAUCAAUCAUGACACCCAGAUAUCAGGCAGAAUUGGUAGGAAUGAGGUUAUAAGAUCCAAACUGGAUAAUGAUCUGUGGGUCAAAAGUGGGACUGGAAUGAUAAUAAGCCCAGUCUUGGACAGACUGAGCUGUAGGUGAUGUUCCCUCAUCCAUUUAGAGAUAUCAGCGAGGCAGGAUGAGAUCCGAGCUGAAACAGUUUUGUCAUCAGGUGGAAAAGACAGGAAGAGCUGAGUAUCAUCUGCAUAGCAGUGAUAGGUGUCAACAUAAAUAUUCCUACAUAAGCCCCACUCACCUCAUCUGAUGUUACCAAAAUGUUCUAGUUUGACCAUAAAUAUAAGUUUGAUGUCUGUUUGUCUCACAAAGAGGCUGGAGGCAAUUAGGUGUCACUGAGUAUAGAUUCACUCUUUGUCUUUGUACAUAAAGUUCUUCUUUACUCUUUCACUGGGGGAAGUCAGCUACUCUGGCCUGAUACAGGAUCUUUUCUAAUCAUGCCUUAAUUUGGUAUAUAAAGAGAAAAGUCUCAUUUUGGGCAUAACAAUCAAAAGAAGAAGAGAUACUAUGAGCAGGACAAUCAAUCCAAGCUUUAAGAGCUGAGAAAAUCUAUCCAGAGAAGGUUGUUUCAGCUCUGACUUCUACUCUCAAUUUUAAGAAAAUAAAGCACUGGUAGCAACAAUAGAUUUCCUUGUGCAUACUCCCUGGCCUCAUUGUGCAUCUCCUCAGCCCAGAUCCAUGCACUGUUGGCAUAGUAUCAAGAGUCUAUCACAUCUCUGAGGAUCUCCAGACCUGAUAGUCCAUUUGCCAGUAGUAAAUACUGUUUGGCAAAUGAGCCUUGAAUGUUGUGUGUGGGAACUGCUGGCUGAAAUAAAAGCAAGGCACUUGCUGGGGGCUUUAAAAAUCUCUAAUAUCUGUGUUUCAUAAAAGUUUGGAUAGUCAUAUGCAGGAGGUGAAUGGAAGAGGCUGUUUGUCUGUAAGAGUUAGCUCAAAUCAAAUCAAACUUUAUUUAUGAAGCACUUUUCAUACAAAAGGAUGUAACAAAAAGUGCUUUACAGUCACUUUAAAAGCCAAAAACUAUCCCAGAUGCCCUACCCCCCACAAAUGCCUUACCCCACCUAACAAUACAAUCUACAAUCAACAGUCACAUUUAGUCUCAUCCAAAGCCACACACACACACACACACGCACGCGCACACAGCAAUGCAUCUGCACAUACACAUGCUAAGAUAGUGGACAUGAGGCUGAGUACAGAUGAACCAGUUGAGAAAGUGCCAUUAGAGGAGCCAUCAGCACCAGGAGCAGAGAGCUGCCCACAGCGACAGGACACCGACACUGGGCCAGAGGAGAGAUGUUACUGCAGACAUGAACAUCAGCCUCACUGUCAUUAUUGACAUUAAUAAUACAAAAUAGAACUGACUACGAUUAAGCCUGCUAACUGUAAUCGCACUCAAUUAAUUCAACAUUGUCCAUUAUCACUCAUAUCCUAAACCUGUAAACUGAACUUCUUUUUGUUUCACCAUUACAUGAGCUGUUGUUGUUGUUGCUGUUGUUCCUGCUGCCUCCUGUCUCUCUCUCACCCUCGUUCCCUACUCUCUCUCCCUCCCCCUCCCUCUCCAUACUCAUUCUCUCUCGCCUUUCCCCUAUCUUGUUGUCUCUCUCCCUCCCCCUGUCCUCUCCCCCUCUCCCCUCUUCUCUCUACACUCCUCCCCAACCCAGCAGCGGCAUGGUGGCUGUCUAGCAUGAGGCUGGUCCUGCCCAAGGUUUCUGCCUGUUAAAAGGAAGUUUUUCCUUGCCACUGUAACUCAUGUUAGUUGAGAUGGGCCAAAACCCAUCUUAGGUUGGUUCUUGAUCAUCAAACAAUGAGCGUGGUCCAGACCUGCUCUUGUUCCUUGAAAAGCGUCUUGAGAUGACGACUGUUGUGAAUUGGCGCUAUAUAAAUAAAAUUUGAUUGAUUGAUUGAUUGAGAUGUGGCAGACACUAACCUCCACCAGGAACCCCGUGACCAACUACUGCCGACAACUGCUCCCGUGCUGAGGGCUCCCCAGAGGAUACACUGGGGUUCCUAAAAAUUAUAAAUGACAGAAAAUUUGUCCCAUUUACUUUUUAGAGGGAUAAAUCAAAGUAUUAGACCAUAAAGGAAUGAAUUAUUAAUGUUGAGUUUCUGAAUAGGUCUGCUGCUAAGAGCUAUAAUAUAAGCUUUUGAGACGCAGAACAAAAUCAUUGCUUUGUGAGGUGAAAACUGGAAAUCUCAAGUAGAAAAUUCCUCCUAUAGAAUUUGCCAUCUGUGUUUGUUGGUCUAAUGUGGAAGCCCAAAGAAAAUAUUCAUACGGGCUACUACUGACAAAUGUAAUAAAUGUUAAAAAAAUAACUCAGCCAAAAAAGUGUGAGAACUGAGAAAAAAAUGCCGCCAAGUCAGUGGAGUAAAAGAUUAACAAAAUAAAUAAAUUAAACUGGCUUACCAUGUACAUUCAGCAGCACAGAGGCAGGACUUUGGUUAAAGUCAACUAUGUGGGCUGCUUAUCGCUUUACUUUGAUUUAAAUACAGCCCCUUUUCUAUGGUUUAACUUAAAGCUACUGUGUGGUGCUUUUUAUGUGGUGACUCUGCCCCAUUAAUCUACAAAGUGGUAUGUCUGCUCUCAUUAAUGAUCUAGCCUGCACGUGUAGUCUCAGAAUAUCAAAUCUUUUGCCAGCAUCUUUAAAUAGUCAGAUGUGUCAUUCAUGAGAAUCUCAGUCAUGAAAAGUUCAUCUGACACUUACCCCCUUGGCAGUUGUUUCAGGCAUGAACAGUAAUGAUAUACACUAAACAAAAAUAUACAUGCAACACUUUUGUUUUUGCUCCCAUUUGUCAUUAGCUGAACUCAAACGUCUCAGACUUUUUCUAUGUACACAAAAGACCUAUUCCUUGCAAUUAUUGUUGACAAAUUUGUCUAAACCUGUGUUAGUGAAAACUUCUCCUUUGCUGAGAUAAUCCAUCCACCUCACAGGUGUGGCAUAUCAAGAUGCUGAUUAGACAGCAUGAUUACUGCACAGGUGUACCUUAGACUGGCCACAAUAAAAGGACACUCUAAAAGCUGCAGCUUUACAGAUUUAGACAAAUUUGUCAACAUAAUUUGAGAGAAAUAGAUCUUUUUGUGACAUAGGAAAAGUCUUAGAUCUUUGAGUUCAGCUCAUGAAAAAUUGGAGCAAGAACAAAAGUGGAGUGUUUAUAUUUCUGUUCAGUGUAUAAUGUGUCAGUUAUUUUAUGAUUUCAUUAUAUUUAUACUUAUUUUUUCUUUUUCACUCAGAAAGUAUGAAUGUUGAUUUCAGACUGUUUUGAAACCAGUUCAAAACUGUCACACUAGUUUUCAGUCUGUGCCGCAGUUUGGCCACUGUGGUCAAAGAAUCUGGAUACACCCCUAAAAACCAGUAAACAAGAUUUUAACAUGUAAAGUAUAAAUAGUAUUUGUCAUGACAGUGAUCUUUUAAUAAUCAAAUUUCUACUAUUACAGGAGAAAAGUGUACAGAAAAUGAAUGAAAUUGUUAAAUGGGAGAGGGAGUGCUCUGGCUCCACAAAAGAUCAACAAAAACCUUGACUCACUGGAAAGUUUGACAAAAGCAAACCAGCAUGUUUCACUCAGAGUUUGGGUGCAGGUCAGGGUUAAUAGUAUAUUAUUCAAUUUAGAUACAAUAUUAUUUUGACCCUCAUCAUAUUGUGGCAUGCACUUAGUUUCCUCAUUUUCAAAAUGAGCAACAACAGAAAAUGUUUUCCUAAACUCAGACCACCUACAGUCUGCCUCUGCAUCACUACUGCUUGCAGGGGAAAGAGGAGUGUGACAUUUCUUCUCUUUAACCACAAAAACAACAUCACAGUGUAAAUAAUGCUGUCACUUUAAUAGAUUGAGAUUGAGGUGAGAGGUUAAAAGGAGACUGAUGAUGAGAGUUGGGGGUUGCUUCAGUUUUUUUUUUUCUUUUUUAAUGACUAAAGUUAUCCUCCAUCGGGUCCAAUCUUGGAGAAAAGAAAGAUGCCUUUUUCCUCAUCUGUCUACAGUAGCUGAUAAUUUCACAGAGACAGUGCUGCAAACUCAGUAAAAUCCAUCAGGGGUAAAUUAAUGUCUACCUACACCUUUGACAUGUCUUCUAUUUAGCACAGCAAACACGUGUGUGUGUGUGUGUGUGUGUGUGUGUGUGUGUGUGUGUGUGUGUGUGUGUGUGUGUGUGUGUGUGUGUGUGUGUGUGGACCCUGCAGAGUCCAAGUGAGUUAACUCUGUUAUCUGGAAAAGGCCAUCAGAUAUGUAUUUAUCUUAGUGUGUGUGACAAAGCAGAUCAGGGAGUGUUUGUUCAACAGUCUCUUCAAAACAAACUCCUGCCAAAGUUGCUGCAGCCAAAAUUUGUGUUAGAAAUCCUUAAGAGGGAAUCAGACCAAAGAGGGUAUAUCUGGAGAGAAGAGAGGUACAGAGACUUACUUAUUUUCUGUGCUGGAGGGCAGAAAAGGAAACACGUGUGACAGAGGCGUGUGUGUCAUUUCUGUUCACUCUUUUUCUAAAGCUUUUCAUCUUCAACCCUUUAUCCCCUCUCUUUCUCUGAGUUUAUUUUCUCCUCUCCCCUAAAAAAUAAGCUUAUUGUAUCUGACAGCCCAAGAUCUGUUAUUCCUGUCCAAGCAGAAUCAGCCUCAGCCUCGAUCAUCUGCCUCUAAUACUGCUGUGCUAACACUAGAAAAAAAACUCAGCUACUAUCUGCAAUCCAUCAAGUCAAACUAGGUUAUCCAUUUCCAGCAGCUUCCAGCUGAGAUAAGAAACUCUGGAGAGAGCAGCACUGGCAAAUGUACAAUGAUGGUGCAACCCGUUGAAGUAACAAUCUAAACAGCAUUAGUGUAUUUAGAUUAACAAGCCUUUUAUAAUGACUCUGAAGAAAGACAAAUGGUGUAGUUCAUAGAUGGUGUAGACAUAUUGUUCGCUUAUUUUCACUAUUGACCUUUCCACAACAUGUUUUAUGUCAUGGACAGAAAAAGUGGCCCCCUGAAGCUAAACAAAACAGCAAUGACAACAUGUUUCCACAGAGAAAAACUCUGUGCACUGACAGACUGUUAAAGACACAUCCACAAUCAACUUCAACACGGUUGUUAUUGUUUGCACAAGUGUCACUGGAAAGUUAUUAAGUCAGCGUGUAGCCAUACGUAUUAAUCAUCCAAUUGUUCGCCUAAUUCAAAAUUCUGAGAACUUUUGUGUCAAUGAAAUCAAAUAAAAUCUUCUUAAAUCAAUUUAUGACAGUGAAAUCCUUCUUCUUCUUUUUUUUCAUCAGAUCUAGAUAAUCACAUCCAUCAGGAAUCUUCAGGCAAAGUGAAUCUGGUGUAUGCCAAAGUGCCUGGCCAAGUAAUUUAGGCAUGCACCAUUUUGCAGAGGCUAUAGAUCCUGUAUGCUGCAUAUCCUUCACUCUCUGCCUCUCACAUUUCUUGUCUUUUUUCAGAUGUCCUAUAUAAGAAAAAUGUCCAAAUAUAUAUACUGUAUUAAAAAAAAAGUUAAGCCAACUGGUUACAUUUUCAGACAGUACUUCAUUUGAGCAAGUGGUGUUGAACUGAGUAUCAGUAUUGCAGUGACUUGUUCAGAUGCACAAAGUUGAAAAUCAAAGAUAACCACAUUUGUGCUGAUUUUUGGUACAACAUCACAUUUUGGGCGAAGCACUGCUUAUGCUUCUGUGUAUUUAAUAGUUAGAUCUACUUUAUCACCAAAGAGUGAAUUGAGAGGCUGUUGUGGUAUUGACGAGUCGAUCAGUGUCGAGUGCAGUGGAGUUUCGCAGCUCAAGGAAGAACAUUUAUGAUUAUUAUUUCAUGGAAAUGCAAUCCGACUGAGACGUUAAGGCAGAGGAACUACCGCAUCUGCAGUGCACAAUGAUUAAUAUAAUGAUUGUUACUCUAAGGAAAUGAUCCACUGCGCUCGGUGAUCAACUCUUCAGGGCUUCCCCACAAACAAGCGGCUGCUGGAGGAAAGUGGGUGAGUUGUGUUUAGUCUCUUUGCUAAAGAUAUCAGGCAAAGCUAAAAAGAUGUUUGAUGGCUACUACUUUGGCUGGGACCCUACUGUUGUUAAAGUUAGGUGCUGUUUUGAGCAUUAUUUGUAGCUAUAAAGUGUCUUUUUGAUUGAGGUUUAUGCAUGGAGUGAUAGACCGCUGUGUAUUGCUAUCAUGCUGUCUUUGCUAAAGUUGGUAUAAUGAGAGUAGCAAGCAGUCGGCAACAUUCAUCUCUCAAGGGGGUGUCUUAGUCAGUGUUAGGUUGCGUUUGACCAUAACUCAAAUUUACGCCGGAAUAUUCCUUUAAGUGUAAGUCUUGUUUUCACUCCAUUUCCAAUCCAGCUGUCUGUCUCAGAGCUCUAGUUGACUCAUCCAUGAACAAAAAUGAGAAAAAAUAUUACAACCUCUAACACUGCGAUUAUAACAACAACAUAUGGUUUAGAUUACUUUGCACUGAUUCGUAACUUUGAGACGUACUCACCAGAUUUGCUUCUGAGCCCGGAGUGCAGGCCUGGAUAUUGCCCCACUCCUCCCUAUUUGAGACUGUGGGGUCCAGUUGUUCCUCAGAUUUUUUUUUACAUCUGCCUUCAGCAUUUCCCUACCCCCAAGACCAGCAUGAGAUGAACACUAAUGUUUAAGCAUUAGUGGUGAUAGGGAGAAGACUCUUUAACAUGUAUUAAUUUGAUAUGAUGAUGGUAAUCGAGUCCUGUCCUUGUUGCUAUUGAGAAUUAACCAAACUCUGGGGUUUUGACCAAUCAGAAUCAAUUAUUUUAUACAGAAGACUGAUGGAAAAAAAAAAAAAAACAUUAAUAAGAGAACCUGGCUGAGGCAGAGGAUGCAGCAAGUAAAAAAUCCCAGUGAUGUUAUUCUCCAUGGUGGUACUUAUUGAAUGUCUUUCAUCCUGUCACAUUUCUUUGAAGUAACUGUUGUAAUAUUUAUAAUACAGGGUAAAUUAUUGGUCUUGUGUUUUCCUGAACUGACAGGAGCAAGCACUUCAAACACUCAGGAAUGAUUUAAGUCACUUGAUCUACCUCUGCUCUCAGAACUGGCUCAGCUAUUAAGGAUUUUGAGGAUCCUCUUCUGACAAAGACAGCAGUUAAAGAUAAUCCCAACUGGGAGACUUACACUCUUCUGCAGCUGCGUUUUUUAAUCAUAGGAUGUCAGCACAUCUCUACCAGCUUAUUAUCUGUUUAGCACUCCUCUUAAAAACAACACUGAACAAGUAUAGGAUCCAAAAAACACACAGUACACAUCACAGCGCCCAAAAUCCCGCAAGCUCACAGACAGAUGACAGACCAGUGAAAGACCUCACAGCCACCUUGUGUGCCAAUGUUCAUGGUGGCAAUGUUAUGAAUAAAAAAAGAGGUUUACUUUCCCACUUGUGGACAACUGGUUUACAUGUUUAUAGGUGCAUUGUUUAUUCCUCACGCUAUCGUGACACAGAAAACUCACAGUGGGCUCAAUAAACUGUCUGGUGGAGAUGCAGACACUGGGGGAAAGAGAGCUUUGUAAAAUUAUGCACUAUAGCACAAGGGAUCAUUCAAUCAAAUCAAAUUGCUUCCAUGUUGCCUUUUACAGUGCAGAGUAAUGAAACAUGACCAAGACCUCCAGCAUGGACAAAUCUUAAAGCUCAAAUUGUCUAAGGAAAGCUCCUGUAAUCAGAUUUAAAGAAACUGAGGAGUUGAUUGUGAAUGUUAGGGAGGAAUGUGCGGUAUCAUUGACAGGAGGACACACUUCUACAUACACUAAUCCAGAUAACAACCAUCAGGAGGAGGAAACACAAAGAGUACAACAGCAUGUUGGUCUAUUUGUCUUUCAUUCAAGCAACUUCAGCAAGAAGAAGUUUUUACAAUUCAAAUGCUUAUGCAAAUGUUCAGAGUGUUAGAGAGGAUAGUGCGAGUGAUUGAUUGUUUUUUGGAUCGAGAAGUUCUUUUCCUCUCCUGACUGUUGCCCUUUUUUUUGAUAAAUGACCAGGCGUGAAUAAUGUGCAGGCAAGCUGAACUUUUACAGUAUGUUCAUUAUUCUUCUCCCUGUGAUACUUGACUCAUCUGAAAACAAUUUCUGUCUCCAGUCUGUCAUCUAGGCAGAGAAAAACUUGGCCACCAAGUGAUGACAACAUGCAGCAGGUUUGAAAGUCCUGAAACUUAUGUUUGUUCACCAAUGAAUCUGAAAAAAAAGCAUGUCUGUUGUCAUUUUUAACAAACACAUUCAUCUGUGAACAACGUCUGUCACAGCUGAAAAACUCUGCACCAGUUUUUAUGAAUAUCGUGACAAUGGAAACUCCUUUUUGAAAGUAAAUCAACUUUUAAAGCAGAAGCCAACUUCAUGUCAGCUUGUUUUUAGUGUCCGUGCAAAGGAGUUGGAUGGAAACUUGGAUGAAGCUCCUUUACCAAGACCAAAUUCAACAUCCAAGACAUCCAAUACAGCUAUGAAAAAAGCCACUUACAAGUUCUGAUACAUCCAAGCAGGAAAUGGUGCAUCUGCCAGCCAAGCAGCAUGGAAAAAGUUCAAUAUUCAUCAUUAUUAUUUGACCUUUGCUGUGACAAUCUCUCUUGUUGUUUGCUUAGCCCUGUUGUGUUUACUUGGAUCAGCUGCUUGUUCUGUUUGACGGUUCAGUUAUCGGUUAAUCUAUCAUACAAUUACGAGUCCGUGGUUAAGUGCUCUUGGGAUUGUGAGUUGCAUCCUCGCCUUUAAGCCUAAAGGAGAAAAAAAAUUUGGGAGCAACACAAAGAAUUUAGAACCAACAGUCCGUCAUGAAACGAGUCAGAUGGCUUCUAUCAGCGCCACAGAGAGCUUAUUAACUUUGGAAAUACUGUAUUUCAAAUAUCUCCCAGCUUAGACCUGGCCCAAACAAUGCCAGCAUUGCACAUUUUAUCAUAUUUUUAUCUGUAACAGAAAGCAAGACUCUCACAACAAUAUGUCAACUCGACUCAAAUUCAUGUCUUGGAUUUGAAAAAUAUUUACAGCCAGUCUCCCUGUGAAGCUGGCACAGCCAUGUUUUCAACUAAGAGCCAAAGUUGACAUUAAACUUGCUCACAGUGACGGUGGAUAAGUUAAUGCUAAGAGGGUGACACUGAUGUUUGUGUUUACUGUGAUAGCAUCCCUGCAGUCAUGGUGAGCAUGACAGAGUCAACAUAAACACAAUGGAAAGGAGUUCUGCACUGGCAUUAGCAGAGGCUCAGACCUAGCAGGGCUUGACUCUAACUUUCUUCACAAGGAGCGCAUGUGCUCUUAAGUUGAAAAAGUAAGGAGCACACAAAGAACUUUAGCAGCACAUGAAAAUUGAUCAAAUACUGUUUGUCUUAUUGGUCGACAGAAGUUCUAUUAUUCGAAAACAAUUAUAAGUCUUUUGGCCACAUGUCAUGGAAGCUACUAAAGAAAAUGUUUAAAAUUUGCCUUUAAAUUUAACACAAAAAAUGUAUGAGGACAAAUUAGGGAAAUAAAGAGGUGUGUCUUAUUGGUCAACAUAAGUAUUAUUAUUUAAAAUCAAUUUUAGGUCAAUUUGUCACAUGACAUGGAAGCUAUUGAAGGAAAACAACCUUUUCAGUGAACAUCAACCAGUAAUUUAUUGAUGGUCCCUUAUUCAACACCCGACGUUGACAGCGAGACUGCCAAGUAGAUUCAACCAUGUUGCUGUUGCUAUUCCCAGUUGUUGAAAGUGCACACUGGUAGAUCCUCAGUGAAUGUCCGUCACAUAUCCAACCUAAAACUAACUUCACUGCGGUAUUCACAUGAAAAAACAAUUGUUGCCUUGGCUGAUUUUUUUUAUGCGCACAUGGGCCCCUAAAUACAUUUUUUCAAUUCGCACACAUCUAUUUUUAGUUGCAAAUGCAAGUGAAACGGUCGCACUGUUGAGCCCUGCCUAAGAACUGUGACCUUGAAUAUAUGAGCCUGAGGAGCUUCUGCCCUGCUUGAUAUCAGCCCGUUGUGUUGAGGCAACAGUAACAAUGACAAUCAUGGUAGUGUUUAAGAAUUAAACAAUUUUUUACUGAGACCACUGCCAGUGCACCGUGUUGAAAAUGCUGAACUGCGUUGGCCUUAAUCAGAAAGUCACAGCUAGCUGAGCGCUGUUAGUGGACACAGGCCCUAAGGCUAAAACUAUCUCAAUAAUUGUGUUUUUCACAGAGGUGGGUAAAAAAUUUUUUUUUUUCUUUUUUCUUUUUCUCCCCAGAUGCCAUAAAACUUGCAGACAUCACUGACAUAAUGAUUUGCAGAGGUCAACAUGGAGCUUCUGUGUCUGAGACAAAUUUUCACAGUGUGUUUGGAAAUCAACAAAACACUUUCUUCGAUCAAAUCCAGACUGUGUUGGGAGACUUUCACCACGGUCCUUUGGAAAACAUGCACAGUGACCAACCAUCUGAUGGUUGUCAAAUUCAAAAUGAUUCAAGAUGACAUGUUUAUUUGGAACCACAGUGGGAAUCUUUAAUCGG